ACAGCAGCACAACAAGGCUGCCUCUACUGGUCGAACAGCAGCAGAACAAGGCUGCCUCUACUGGUCGAACUAAACGAGCAGAACGAGGCUGCCUCUACUGGUCGAACUAAACGAGCAGAACAAGGCUGCCUCUACUGGUCGAACAGCAGCAGAACAAGGCUGCCUCUACUGGUCGAACAGCAGCAGAACAAGGCUGCCUCUACUGGUCGAACAGCAGCAGAACGAGGCUGCCUCUACUGGUCGAACAGCAGCACAACAAGGCUGCCUCUACUGGUCGAACAGCAGCAGAACAAGGCUGCCUCUACUGGUCGAACAGCAGCAGAACAAGGCUGCCUCUACUGGUCGAACAGCAGCAGAACAAGCCUGCCUCUACUGGUCGAACAGCAGCAGAACGAGGCUGCUAUUCAAAAUAAAAACACAGACUAUAUUAUUCCGCUCCACUGCAUCGAAGCCAACCGUGCAUCACCUUCCUCGCUGCUCUUUGUAGUCAUAGAACACGGCCACUUUUCACCAAGAGGAAGUGACAUCGUUCCUAACCUAAAAAAACAAGGCAUUCUGACUGUAUUCCUUCGACACUGUGGAUCCAAAAGUACUAAACGUCCUUGUUUCAUCCUCACUGUCCUCGUCCUCACUGUCCUCGUCCUCACUGUCCUCGUCCUCACUGUCCUCGUCCUCACUAUCCUCACUGUCCUCGUCCUCACUGUCCUCGUCCUCACUGUCCUCGUCCUCACUGUCCUCACUGUCCUCGUCCUCACUGUCCUCGUCCUCACUGUCCUCGUCCUCACUGUCCUCACUGUCCUCGUCCUCACUGUCCUCACUGUCCUCGUCCUCACUGUCCUCGUCCUAUUCCUCACUGUCCUCGUCCUCACUAUCCUCGUCCUCACUGUCCUCGUCCUAACUGUCCUCACUGUCCUCGUCCUCACUGUCCUCGUCCUAACUGUCCUCACUGUCCUCGUCCUCACUGUCCUCGUCCUCACUGUCCUCGUCCUAUUCCUCACUGUCCUCGUCCUAUUCCUCACUGUCCUCGUCCUCACUGUCCUCGUCCUAACUGUCCUCACUGUCCUCGUCCUCACUGUCCUUGUCCUCACUGUCCUCGUCCUCACUGUCCUCGUCCUAACUGUCCUCACUGUCCUCGUCCUCACUGUCCUCGUCCUCACUGUCCUCGUCCUAUUCCUCACUGUCCUCGUCCUAACUGUCCUCGUCCUAACUGUCCUCGUCCUCACUGUCCUCAUCCUCACCUGUCCUCGUCCUCACUGUCCUUGUUUCUAUAAUGUUGAUGUCUUAAUUGUUUUGGGGGGAGGGACAGCCAAAUAUCACCUGUGUAUAUGUUGA
rnacentral:lncRNA from 8 species